GCGAUGCGCUUAGGGGUAACACCCGUUCCCAUCCCGAACACGAUGGUUAAGACCUAAGCGGCCGAUGGUACUUUACUGGAGACGGUACGGGAGAGUAGGUGGCUGCCGGGC
rnacentral:rRNA from 1 species